CGCCCAGGCCGCCCCUGCAGGGCGAAAAACAAGUAUUUAAAAGCCUUGGCAUGAACAAAAGACAAAAAACCAAACAGACCCGAAAACAGAACCCCACAAACAACGUUAUUUAUGCAGAGAAUCUCCCAGAGAGAGCAGGGCUCGGAGAAGGAGCAGAUAUCCCUUCACCAGAGCAGGAAAAUGUUGAAUAUAAGAACUCUGUACUGCUGAGCACGAGUGAGUGUGGAGAUGAAGGCCAGAGAUGUUAAAACAUAACAUACAAGAAGACUGGCAAGCAGUAAAUACCUUUGUAGUACCAUCUUUCCCUCAGGAUCUUGACAAGGAAUGACAAUUCAGUCAGCUUGCAACUUACUUCUCUUAACAUUGCUUAUAAGGGUACUUGCACAGCCGAAGUUUCCAGAGCCUUCUUUUAAUAUUCUUUCAGGAUGAGCAUCCACCUCUGCUCUGGAAGGCAUUGUGGGAAAGAGCAAUUCAAACAAAAAAAUAAGGGGACAUUAGAAAACAAAAAGCAUUUUAUACAGACUAGGCCUCCCAUAAGCCAGGCAGGACGGAGGUUGCCAAGAUGGGAUCACUUCGCACCAGCACUCACAUACUAAAACAUUACUACUUAAUAGUCAAAAGUCUGUGCUCUGCGAUCUCUUUAAAUCCAUGGAAUUUGGUUACUCUGAGAAGCACAGAGCGAUCCCGAGGAAAGGGAAAAAAAGAAAAAUCAGCUAAGCAAGCGGCCGAAAGAGAAGCACCAGGUCGAUGUGGCACAUCUGCGCAGCGGUGCGAGGUCCUGGCGGCCGCAGGUGCGGUCACAGCGGGUCCCGGACGCCGCGGAGCCGCAGGGCGAGCGCGACAACUGGAGUUUCUUCAAGGACGAGCGGCCGGAGCGCCCGAGGCUCUGAAAGGGGACACCGAGCGGCCGGGGAGGCCCCGAGCUGUGUCCCCGUGCACAGGCUGCUCAAUAAAUAACCCGCACUCAUCACGCGGGGCCGUGACCAAGCAAGCGGUACCAGAGGGAGCGGCGCACCCGGCGGGGGCGAGCGCCGGGCAGGGCCACGCAGCACACCGGCCACCCCGCACACCGGCCGUCCCGCACACCCGCCGCCCCUCGGCUCCGCUCGGCUCCCCCGCCGCCCACACGGCCACUCGGGCAGCAAAGCCGCCAUGGGAGCGGCGCACGGCCGGACCCGCCGAGGGACGGGCUGACCCGCCUGUCCCAGCGGCCGCUCCGGAGGGAGGGAGCCGGGGCGAGGCGGGGCAGAGCCGCUGCGUUUACCCGCCCUGGCCCCGCAUGGGAGCCCCUCGGGCCAGCCGCUCUCCCAUCCGGCCGUGAAGUUCAGAGGAUGAUACAAACGGAACCAGAAUGGAGAGAAUCCAGCUGUCGGAGAGGUGCCUGAAGCGGUUUGGGACUGCCAGCCAAUGCUGUUCUUAAGCUAAGCUACCGGGUAUGCUAGCAGUGGAACACACAGCCUGUGCCCGUGCAGUGUCAGAGACUGUGAAGGAGAAAUAAAAAAGAAAUGAGAAACUCGGUAUGAAAAAUAUUAGAAAGAAGCAAAAGUUUGGAAAAGCAGAUAACUUCCCUUUGUAAAAACAGUCUUGUUAAAAUAUAUGGAACACAAAUGGCUGCCCUCUGAAGAUUGAUUUGCUCCAAAAUAAUGUAAUGAUGUCCAACAUUUCAAAUGCAGAAAUUCAGUUAUAA